CAGCAUGAACUUAGCUCGCUAAGUUUGAUGGCGACCGGCGCACGGGUGAGUAACACGUAUCCAACCUGCCGAUGACUCGGGGAUAGCCUUUCGAAAGAAAGAUUAAUACCCGAUGGCAUAGUUCUUCCGCAUGGUAGAACUAUUAAAGGAUUUCGGUCAUCGAUGGGGAUGCGUUCCAUUAGGUUGUUGGCGGGGUAACGGCCCACCAAGCCUUCGAUGGAUAGGGGUUCUGAGAGGAAGGUCCCCCACAUUGGAACUGAGACACGGUCCAAACUCCUACGGGAGGCAGCAGUGAGGAAUAUUGGUCAAUGGACGAGAGUCUGAACCAGCCAAGUAGCGUGAAGGAUGACUGCCCUAUGGGUUGUAAACUUCUUUUAUACGGGAAUAAAGUGAGGCACGUGUGCCUUUUUGUAUGUACCGUAUGAAUAAGGAUCGGCUAACUCCGUGCCAGCAGCCGCGGUAAUACGGAGGAUCCGAGCGUUAUCCGGAUUUAUUGGGUUUAAAGGGAGCGCAGGCGGACGCUUAAGUCAGUUGUGAAAGUUUGCGGCUCAACCGUAAAAUUGCAGUUGAUACUGGGUGUCUUGAGUACAGUAGAGGCAGGCGGAAUUCGUGGUGUAGCGGUGAAAUGCUUAGAUAUCACGAAGAACUCCGAUUGCGAAGGCAGCUUGC
rnacentral:rRNA from 1 species